rnacentral:rRNA from 1 species
ACGAACGCUGGCGGCGUGCUUAACACAUGCAAGUCGAACGGAAAGGCCCUGCUUUUGUGGGGUGCUCGAGUGGCGAACGGGUGAGUAACACGUGAGUAACCUGCCCUUGACUUUGGGAUAACUUCAGGAAACUGGGGCUAAUACCGGAUAGGAGCUCCUGCUGCAUGGUGGGGGUUGGAAAGUUUCGGCGGUUGGGGAUGGACUCGCGGCUUAUCAGCUUGUUGGUGGGGUAGUGGCUUACCAAGGCUUUGAUGGGUAGCCGGCCUGAGAGGGUGACCGGCCACAUUGGGACUGAGAUACGGCCCAGACUCCUACGGGAGGCAGCAGUGGGGAAUAUUGCACAAUGGGCGGAAGCCUGAUGCAGCAACGCCGCGUGCGGGAUGACGGCCUUCGGGUUGUAAACCGCUUUCGCCUGUGACGAAGCGUGAGUGACGGUAAUGGGUAAAGAAGCACCGGCUAACUACGUG